AACCAAAUAAACUAGUCGAAAAGAAAAGUACAAUUUUUUCCUUGAUCGAGGACAAUAGUCUCUUUGUCGGUCAAAGAAUUUAAACACCUCCCAACUAGUUAAUAGUUACCCCAAGACGAGAGAGAGAGACAGACAGAGAGAGAGAGGGAGAACACCGACCUACAUACCUGCCUAUCCGACCUUCAUCAGAAUUUUACCUUCAACCUUCUUACAGAAACCUUUUCUAGCUAACUAUUAAACCCAGAAAAAUAAAGAGCCAAAGGUAGAUCCAGCUUGCCAACUUUAGAAUCUAACUGAAGAAAUUGAGCUCAGAUCUCCAGACAAACCAGAAAACCAAGGAAACGCAGAUCUGUGCAUGCUGAGAGGAGCUAAGCUAGCUAGUUGUGGUCCAAGGCAGAAACUAUAAUUAUACUGCUCGAAGUCUUCACCUUCUUCUACCUCUUCUUCUUCGAUCUGCGUCUUGUUGCAACGUCAACCUUAUAUUCUACUUGGCUGGAGAGUCUUUAUGGAGCGGGAUUGGAAAAAUUUGCCAAAGCAUCUUUUGGAUUCAGUUGCAGAAAAACUAUUGAAACCAUUAGACUAUUUGGGUUUCAGCUUGGUUUGUAAAUCAUGGUAUUCUGUAGCAAAGGAUAAUAAAAGCAAACAUGAAAGGAUGACAGGUCCAAUGCUGUUGUUUUAUUCAGGGAGAAAACACUAUUGGAAUUUCUACGAUGUCAUUAAUAAGAAGGUCCUUAAGUUCCAAGCAAAAGUGCCGUGGAAGCCACUUGUUGGAUCUUCAAAAGGAUGGCUAGUAUUUGUGCAUAGGAAUACUGAGGAUAGUAAAGUUUGUUGGACGCGGCGCUUUUCCAGAUUCUCAUGCUACCAAGAGAUAUAUCUUUGAAGGAGAAGACAAUAAAUUGUUGAUGGUCCAAAGGUACAUGGAGUAUAGCGAAGACAAACGAGUGACAAAGAAAUUUAGAGUUUUUGAGUUGAAUUUUCAAACGGGUGAAUGGACUGAGAAGAACACCUUGGGUGGAGUUGCUCUCUUUGUCGGAGAUAACUCUUCAAUAUGCGUGUUGGCUUCAAAAGUUUCCGGAUUUCAGUCAAAUUGCAUAUACUUCAACCAUGAUUGUGAUUAUGUAGGCGGUGGUGACGAAUAUGAUUUUGGUGUUUAUAACGUUGAAGAUCAAAGCUUCCCAAAAACUUACACUAACCGCGUUAAGAAGAUCCUGCAGAUGAGUUAUCCACAACCGAUUUGGGUUAAGCCGACUUUGUCUUUUCCGUUGUAAAGAGCCUAUGCCACUUAAGUUCUUUCCAUUGGAUGAGGAUGAGGAAGAAGACGAGUAAGACGCAACAAUGAGUGGUUGUUUACGGUUGUUAUUGUUGUACCAACUUUUUUUUGUAAUGUAACUUUGGUCUUAAAUCUUAAUCAAUAGAUUGUCUUUCUGUUUCAA